GUCGAACAACAAGCGUCCGAACAGCGGUGCGUUGAAAGCAGGAACUUGCUGGCUGGAGGGCGCGAGUGGUCAUGUCUGCUUAUGACUUUGUUUCCCCGCCUAUGGGCCGCAUAGAAUAAACAAUGGUGGGCAUACCCUUGCCUAUGACCAUGUUUAUUUACCCAUAGUACGAAUAUACAUUGUUCGACCAAACAUGGCCAACAAUGACGCAACGAGGUAACCG
rnacentral:lncRNA from 1 species